UACAGAGACUGCAAGCGUUAUUCGGAUUCACUGGGCGUAAAGGGUGCGCAGGCGGCCAAGUGUGUGAGGCGUGAAAGCCCGGGGCUUAACCCCGGAAUUGCACCUCAAACUACAUGGCUAGAGCAUUGGAGAGGGUAGCAGAAUUCAUGGUGUAGCAGUGAAAUGCGUAGAUAUCUGGAGGAAUACCGGUGGCGAAGGCGGCAUCCUGGACCAUUACUGACGCUGAGGCGCGAAAGCUAGGGGAGCAAACGGG
rnacentral:rRNA from 1 species